CUGCACAGAUGUGCCUUGUCAAACUGCCUUCCUGCACGUCCAUGGCACCGCAGCACGGAGGGGCUCCAUGGGCUGCAGGCACAGCACCAGUGCAAGGUGUGCCCUCAGCCACUCAGCAAUGCUGGAACAACUUUGCAGGGUACAUCUGCAGCUGCAUUCCCCGCCCAGACCCCUCCAUCACUUGACAAAGUUUCCAUUUGACACUUUCGCUGUGUCUCCAAGCAUUUACUACAGUAAUUCAGGGUUACCAAGCAACAGAUCAGUUUACUUAACAACACGGAACUAUCUGCUGCAAAAGGACAAGUAAUCCACCAGUAGCUGCCAGGCUGAAUUUCAGCUCAGCAGGGAGGUUGUCCAACACUUUAUUAUCAAUCAGAGCUGAAUCGCAAGCUGAUCUCCCAGCUAAAAACUCCUACGUGUCAGAGCAGCGCACCCACGCACGUGUGGUUUCUCAGACACCAUUUGAUGGUUGAGAAGAUGCCUCUUUUUCCCUAAAUGCAUCUGCAGCAACCAAGGGUUCCCAAACUGCUUCAGCUGAGGAAGACAGAGUAUAAAGUUCUGACGCACAGUCCCAGAACUCAUGGUGUGUCUUUGGAGGAGACUGAGGUGCUGAGAGACAAGGCCUUUAAUUAAAAACAAGUACUGGAUGUUUGGAGACAAUGUGUAAUAGGACAACCAACACUCGUGGAAUCACAUGAGAAAUAUAAUUAAAAAGAUUGCUUCGUGACUCUUGACUCCACGCCUCGCACGUUACAAUUAAAAACCAUUUGUCUUUUUAUGGCAGUCUAAAUUCUGCUCUCUGCUUUGUCAGGGUGAAGUCAAAAGCAAUUCUCUGUAAAUUAACAGUGCUUUCUUGAAUUUAUGUUAGCAGAUACUGAAUUUGAAUCUAUAUUCAACUUUUUCUAAACCAUCCCUUAAAUACUAACAUAUCCUCUUUUUUUUUUUAACAUAGACAAAGUUAAUUAGAAAUAAGUUUCGCAGGCAAUAACAGCUGUAUGACACAAUGGGCCAUUUUUGCAGGGUUUUAACUUUCCAGAUGUUCUCAGAUUUGAAACCUAGAGCUUGAGCAGUGACAAACCCAUGCACAGUCUGCCCACUUGCCUUGAGUUGCAAUUGUAUGAUCCACGUGCAAAUGAGCUUUCAAAUUACUGUGACCAUUUGUUCCAACACCUCCACAUCCCCCAACCCCAUGCAUCCUGUGCCUAAACUACCUACUGUAUCUUGAGCUUGUCUGUACUAUAAUAGGAUGAAGACUUGGGGAGGAGGAAUGCUGUCUAGAAGAGGUGCGUAACAAGGGAAAAAGUAGCUCUAACAGAAUAGCAACAUCAUAGGAACACAGAAAGCCAUUGUUGCAGGCCAAGUAAUCCUGUGACACGCUACUGUCAGUCAUAGCUUGACACCCUGCUGGGCCAGCAAGACAUCAAAGCCCACCCCAUACCAUCUUACAUGCUCUUUAUCAGCUAAUCAGGCUAUUCUUCCUCAAAUAAAGCUCCGUUAAAUCCCCCCUCACAGGGGCAUUCCCAUCCUGUUGCCCAUCUGCUGGUGAGGGUCAGCUGAAGCAGGAGGCAGAUCAGUGCUCUGUCCCUGGUGGCUUCUCAAAGCAGGACAAUGCUGUCUCUGACUUUUUAUUUUAAAAUCCUUUCCCCAUUCUUUCUUCCUUCUUUUUUUCCCCCCCCCCCUCCAAAAUACAUACAUGUGCAAGAGAUGUCACCAGCCUAGGAACAAUUAAGUGGAUUAGUGCUUUAAUUGCAUGGCUAAUGCGGUUUGCAGCAACAAUUACAUGGAAGGAGUCACAACUGAUACCAGGAAAAGAAGAAAGAUUUUUCUUCCUUCGAAUUACUGCAGUGAUUUUACAGGCAAGCCAGAAGUUUGCAGUCUGCUGUUGUGCUGGGGAAGACCGCAAGUGCUUAACAUUGUGAUCUCAGAAGGGAGGACUAUCUGUCUUGUGGAACCACCUCAAAGCACCUAGGAUCGGAGGUAUUGAGCAUUUUCAUCUCUAUCUCAGGCAGAGGAGAGUACUUGGGGCUGUUCUCCAGGUCUGACACAGAAUCUCAGAUUCUUGAUGCAGGAAAGGAGUGCCUAGGAGACUGGAAUGGAUGUCAGAGAGAGGAGAAGAACUGGUAUUUGUCAAGGCCAGGAAGGAAGAAAAGAAGUGCAUUUUGAGAUAAAUCAGCACUCACGCUGCCUCGAUCACAAUAAGUAGAAUGGUCAAACUCAAAAAGUGAAAAUACUCGUUCCUCUGCAGUUUCCUUGAUGCUUUUAUCGCUCUAUGCCAUAUACCAACAGCAAGCAAUUAUGCACACAGCCCUAUCUGAGAGACUUUCCCUAGACAGGCAUGAGGGCAGAGUUGCUACUGCAGUUGCUCCCAAGCCAGGAAUCACAGAUCUGUGUAGGACUGUGUGACUGGAAAUGAGAAUGUGAAUGGAAAAACCUGCCAGCUUCUACUGUGGAAGCGCUUGGCUCCAACAGGACUGCUGCUGGAGCUCUGUCACAACCAUGACCUGUGCAAGGCAGAGAACCACUCCAAUAUAUGGGAAAUCUCAUGCUUUGCUCUGGAACAGUGCCUGUGCCCUUCCUUAUCCUUCAAAGUAGCUCCGGAGUUAAGUAUAAAUAAAUAAAAAUUAGGCUCCUUCUACUCGUGCCUCAAGGGCUAAGAAAACAGAAAAGGUGCAGCAAAACCCAGGCUAGUCCAUGGAGACUCUUCACACAUAACAGCUUCCUUCAAAAAAAGAGCAUCUUUAUCAGAAGCUACAGUGAGCUAAUUUUUUUUAAAACUAAAUUCCCAUUCAAAUGUUUAACCAAGUUGGUUUAAUACACGUAAUUUUUAGGCACUCUACCGCUGUUGGGAAGAAAGGGAGAAGUAAACAACAGCUCAGAGCACAGCCUAAGCCAAUGUCUCAGCAUGAUUUAGCCUCUCAGCAAUCACAAAUGAACUCCUGGAGCAACCACAAGAGCUUCAGGGAGCAAUGCAUACCAUGGACUGGCACAUGGCACCCCUUGGCUUGAGAAUGUCAA